rnacentral:rRNA from 1 species
UACGUAGGGGGCUAGCGUUAUCCGGAAUUACUGGGCGUAAAGGGUGCGUAGGUGGUUUCUUAAGUCAGAGGUGAAAGGCUACGGCUCAACCGUAGUAAGCCUUUGAAACUGGGAAACUUGAGUACCGGAGAGGUCAUCGGAAUUCCUUGUGUAGCGGUGAAAUGCGUAGAUAUAAGGAAGAACACCAGUGGCGAAGGCGGCCUACUGGGCUUUAACUGACGCUGAGGCACGAAAGCGUGGGUAGCAAA